AAUGGUAGACACUAUUUGAAUUUUUGGUUUACUACAUACCUGAUUAUAGUGUAGACUUUAUUUAUAACUUUGAACUGUUAACACAUUCAAAGUGUAAAGCAAGCCCUGCCCACAACAAUUUCUAUAGUCAGUUGCCCGUGAUAAUUUGGGUCUAUAAAACUAAACUAGAAACAUGCUAAGUUAAAAUCAGUUUGUUAUUAGACAUUAGUUACCUACCGAACAUUCUGUAAUUUCAUGUUUAAAAUCUGUUUUCCCUAUUCUGUUUUAAUUAUGUGUGUGUAAUAUAUGAUGCUAGCCAUUAUCUCCAUAAAUGGAUAAAAAUUUUCCCUUGGCUGCUGCUCAUCCCCAGAGAAGGAACAUGUGGGAACUUUAAUUUUUGUGAUUAGUACAUUCUUUUACAUGUUUUGUUGAAACAGAAAAUCUUAAUCUUUUCUAAAUGGUUUUAGAUUUGUAGAGAGCAAAAUUGUUCUGAAUGCUCUUUGAUGAGAUAAUUUAUGUAAAUAGAUACCCAUGGAAGGUAAUGACAUGGAUUAGGAGCAUAGAACCUGCCAAUACUGCCCUUUAUCUCAGUGGUGGGCAGCCCUAGGUGUUCCUUAUAGUACGCUCUAGAAUUUCCCAAAGUACAGAUGGCCUGGCUCUACCUGGGUCCUACUAAUGCAGCACCAGGGGCUGGUAGGGAAGCUAAUCUGUAUUUUGAAAGUGUUAUGCAAGAACUUCUGAAGCUAAGGUUGAGAAGCUUCGCUGUUUUGGGGAGAUAUACUCUGGUUGUCUUAUUGGGAUGUCUGACAUAAUGAUAUAUUUUUGGUACUCAAUUUCAUUUAAAACUGCUUUAGUUUCUUACUUGUUGUCUGGCCAUGGUGAAACCUCUGAUUUUUCUGGGCUUCAGUUUAUUCAGUUGAAAAAUUCAGAGUAGUUAGAUUCAGGUUCAUUUGGGUUCUGUGAGUCUAGGGAUCUGAACCCCCAUGGAACUUUUAUAUCAAAUUUCAUUCUCACUCCAUGCAUAUCAUGUAGAGAAAAAUCCAGGUAGUUAAUAUCAACACUUAAACAUUUAUGAGGGUUUGAGAAAAUUCUUUACGGGUUGCUACUGGAAUUAGGGUAACCAAAUUUAAUUGUCAGUGAUGUGGUGUAGGAAAGAAACCCUUUUUAUCUACUUUCUAAUUCAGACCGGCACUCAUCUCAAAGUCUAUAAAUAUUAGAAGAGAGAGAAGAGACAAGACAGAUGAAAUUUGACCUUGGUAGAAAUGAUUUAUUCAGCAGCGAUGAAGGAACCAGUGUUCAUCAGAGGUUAUGAUCUCCCGGGGUUGUCAUUUUGGAAGUGGCAGAGUCAGACAUCCACCUGGUCCCUGACCCAUGGCCAUGUGCAACUGCCACAGCACCUCAUUUCUUCUGAUUCUCCUGGGAGGGGUAUGGUAGAGAGGGCCGUGUUUUAAAUAGUAGAUUCCUUUCUGACUCUUCACAAUUAGAGACAUGGAACACUUUUGGCCUCCAUGAUGUCAUUCUAUCUCAUUUCUAAGGCUAUUGGUUAACAGGCUUUCCUACAUUGGAAUAUAUAUCAGGGUAAGCCUUUUGUCUCUGUAUUAUAGAGAUUUGGUGUGUACAUCCAGUUAUAAAACUAACUCCAGAAGACAACACAGUAAAAAAAGUUAUUUUUAGUGCCUUGA